AUGUACGUUAGAUAGAAAUUGUUAAAAAUAUUUUAAUUGUACAUCUUUUAUUUAUUUAGAAAAGUUAGUUUCCACUUUUGGUUUUUCAUGGUUCAUUUUGUUUAUUUUUACUGAAUAGAUGGAUUACAAUUGUUUUUUCCCCCUCGUAUUUCUGCUUUACCAAUUCAAAUUUUAAAUUGAUUUAUUUUUAACUUGAACAGAAUUUAGAUAAGAAACCUUUGACUCCAUAUGUCAAAAGCAGUUGUAAAACACAAUCUCUGAAUUCCCAAAUAAUAUAAAAAAACAUAGAAAGUUCACUGUUAAAGUUGCACAGUUAUAAAUAUUUAUUUACUAAUAUUUCACUUAUUGAUUGUGAAAAAUUAAUUUACAAAUACUGGAGUUGUUUUUAAAUGAACAUUUAUGCAAACUGGUGUGCUUUAUUGGAGCUAUUUUAUAUUUAAACACACCAGAAGUUUGUAAUUGUUCUAAUACUAUGAGUAGAUAAGGCCUAGAAGUUUUGUAAACUAUCAAUCUUUAAAGCUAAUCUCUCUACCUUAAAGUAUUUGCAUUCAUUUUUAACCCAGGGUUGGCAGCUGGUGCCACCAAGUGGCCGAAGACGGUACUGCACACUGACUACCGAGAAGAUUUCAGAAACAGGGGAUUUUCUUUCCGGAACUGGGUUGGUGAGUGACUCCGGAUGGAAAGGUUCUGGACAAGUUUGGG